rnacentral:rRNA from 1 species
GGGUCAGUAGGUUGGUCGUGCCACCGGUACGUACUGGUCUCACUUAUUCCUCCUUCCUGAAGAACCGUAAUGCCAUUAAUUUGGUGUUGCGGGGAAUCAGGACUGUUACUUUGAAAAAAUUAGUGUGUUUAAAGCAAGCUAACGCUUGAAUACAUUAGCAUGGAAUAAUGAAAUAGGACGAUCGAUCCUAUUUUGUUGGUUUCUAGGAUUGACGUA